AGGUUAUCAGUGCAUUGUAAGAAGUCUCGACAACAAGGGAAGCACAACCACUGACCCUAACAAGCAAUCAAGAACCAUAUCACCUGAAAUGGAACUACCAACUGUGAAUACAGAAUUGAUACAAGAGGAAUUCGAAAGAAAAAUACUUAAAUUUGCCUUAACAAUACUGUGUA